GACGAACGCUGGCGGCGUGCCUAAUACAUGCAAGUAGAACGCUGAAGGAGGAGCUUGCUUCUCUGGAUGAGUUGCGAACGGGUGAGUAACACGUGGGUAACCUGCCCAUCAGAGGGGGAUAACAUUCGGAAACGGAUGCUAAAACCGCAUAGGUCUUCGAGCCGCAUGGUUUGAAGAGGAAAAGAGGCGCAAGCUUCUGCUGAUGGAUGGACCCGCGGUGCAUUAGCUAGUUGGUGAGGUAACGGCUCACCAAGGCCGUGAUGCAUAGCCGACCUGAGAGGGUGAUCGGCCACAUUGGGACUGAGACACGGCCCAAACUCCUACGGGAGGCAGCAGUAGGGAAUCUUCCGCAAUGGACGCAAGUCUGACGGAGCAACGCCGCGUGAGUGAAGAAGGUUUUCGGAUCGUAAAACUCUGUUGUUAGAGAAGAACAAGUGCUAGAGUAACUGUUAGCGCCUUGACGGUAUCUAACCAGAAAGCCACGGCUAACUACGUGCCAGCAGCCGCGGUAAUACGUAGGUGGCAAGCGUUGUCCGGAUUUAUUGGGCGUAAAGCGAGCGCAGGCGGUUCCUUAAGUCUGAUGUGAAAGCCCCCGGCUCAACCGGGGAGGGUCAUUGGAAACUGGGGAACUUGAGUGCAGAAGAGGAGAGUGGAAUUCCAUGUGUAGCGGUGAAAUGCGUAGAUAUAUGGAGGAACACCAGUGGCGAAGACUACUCUCUGGUCUGUAACUGACGCUGAGGCUCGAAAGCGUGGGUAGCAAACAGG
rnacentral:rRNA from 1 species